CGAGGUCAUGCGUUUAGACUGAAAGAAAGAAGAUUUAGUCUAAAGCAAAGGAGAGAUUUUUUUUUUUACUGUAAGAACAAUAAGGAUAUGGAAUUCUCUGCCUGAAGAAGUGAAAUUUUUUUAGUUGUGGGUAAUAGCUUCUUGAUUAAAGGAUAAACCUGACUGCCAUUCUGGGGUCAAGAGAGAAUUGUUUUCCUAGUUUGUUUCAAAAUUGGAAG